rnacentral:tRNA from 1 species
GUUUACGUAAUUUAAUUAAAAUACUAGAUUGUGAUUCUAAAUAUGAAAGUUCAAUCCUUUCCAUAAACC